rnacentral:rRNA from 1 species
CGUUUGAGUAUGUUGGGUUAAGUCCCUGUCAAUCGAGCGCAACCUUUGAAUUUAGUUGCCAUCAUUAAGUUGGGCACUCUUAAGGUGACUGCCGGUGACAAACCGGUAGGUAAGUGGGGUAUGUACGUCAAAUCAUCAUGCCCUUUAUGACUUGGGCUACACACGUGCUACAAUGGAUGGUACAAAGAGUAAAUAGCCCGCGGGCGAGCUAAUCUCAUAAAGCCAUUCUCAGUUCGGAUUGUAUACCGCCACUGCUACAUGAAGCCGGAAUCAUUCACAU